UGGUGUAUAGCACAAAUGACUGGAAGUCCCUGGUUAAGAGUGGUUCUGUAGGUUAGCAGUAGUCAUAAACUAAAGGAAUCUCAUAUUAUAACAUGGAUUCUGUUAAUAUAUAGAGUGUAGCCUUGGUCAGAUAAGAUAAUACCACUAAUAUUCUCACACAUGGAUAUUAUCAAGUUUUUAUUUCUUGGCCAAUGUAGAGGCUUCAUUUUUCAUGGGCUGUAUUUGUACAGACAUCUAGAAAUGUGGUGAUUUUUGUCUCUUAAUGGGAACAUUAUGUUCUAAGAGUUAAUAUGCAUCUUUCUACUAUUGAAUAUUUUGAAUCUUUGUUUAACUUUUGACAGUAUUGCCCUCCAACUCACCAAAUGUUCGUAGAUCUAAUAGAAUACGUUUGAAACCUCUGGAAUAUUGGCGAGGGGAACGAAUAGAUUAUCAAGAAAGCUCAUCAGGAAGACUUGUGCUUGAAAUAGUGUCCCCAGCUUCAGAAUCAGUGAAAAGAAAGGCCAAAAGAAAUCUGGACAAAGUCAACAAAGAAACUAACAAGAAACGGAUCCAUCUUGAUAACCCUACAAGUAUGAACCUGUUUUUCACAUAACUU
rnacentral:lncRNA from 1 species